rnacentral:tRNA from 1 species
GGAGGAUUAGCUCAGCUGGGAGAGCGUCUGCCUUACAAGCAGGAUGUCGGGGGUUCGAACCCCUCAUCCUCCACCA